AUGCCACCCACCGCCCUCAAAACUAUACCCAUUACCUGGCCGUUCGCGGUCUGGGGGCUUGACAUGGUUGGACCCCUUAAAGGGGGAACCCACAAGCACAAAUACUUACUGGUCAUGGUGGACAAAUUCACCAAAUGGAUUGAGGCCAAGCCGGUUAAAACGGCAGAAUCCGGACCGGUGAUAGACUUCCUAUCCGGGGUAGUACACCGUUUUGGCGUCCCCCAUAGCAUCAUCACUGAUAACGACACGAACUUCACUGCCGACGAGGUUAAACUCUGGUGCAAAAACAUGGGCAUCAAGCUCGAUUACGCUUCAGUCUAUCACCCCCAAACUAACGGUCAAGUCGAGCGAGCAAAUGGUCUAAUCAUGAGCGGCAUCAAACCCAGACUAGUGCGGUCCCUCAAGGAAUCUAACACGCACUGGGUAGAGGAGCUCGACUCCGUACUCUGGGGGCUGCGGACCACGCCAAACUGA
rnacentral:rRNA from 1 species